rnacentral:rRNA from 1 species
UACGGAGGGUGCAAGCGUUAUCCGGAUUUAUUGGGCGUAAAGCGCACGUAGGCGGCUUUGCAAGUCCCAUGUGAAAGCCCACGGCUUAACCGUGGAAGUGCAUGGGAAACUGCAGAGCUUGAGUACUUAAGAGGAUCGCGGAAUUCCCGGUGUAGAGGUGAAAUUCGUAGAUAUCGGGAGGAACACCAGUGGCGAAGGCGGCGAUCUGGGAAGAUACUGACGCUGAGGUGCGAAAGCGUGGGGAGCAAACAGG